GGUUGCGAUCAUGCCAGCACUAAUGCACCGGAUCCCAUCAGAACUCUACAGUUAAACGUGCUUGGGAGAGAGUAGUACUAGGAUGAGUGACCCCCUAGAAAGUUCUCGUGUUGCAAGCCACU
rnacentral:rRNA from 1 species